rnacentral:rRNA from 1 species
UACGGAGGGUGCGAGCGUUGUCCGGAAUCACUGGGCGUAAAGGGCGCGUAGGUGGCGCGGGAAGUCAACGGUGAAAGUUCAGGGCUCAACCCUGAAUCGGCCGUCGAUACUCCCGGGCUUGAGCACUGUAGAGGCAGAUGGAAUUCCGGGUGUAGCGGUGGAAUGCGUAGAGAUCCGGAAGAACACCGGUGGCGAAGGCGGCCUGCUGGGCAGUAGCUGACGCUGAGGCACGACAGCGUGGGGAGCAAACAGG